UGAGUGCAGAAGACGACAGUGGAACUCCAUGUGUAGCGGUGGAAUGCGUAUAUAUAUGGAAUAACACCAGUGGCGAAGGCGGCUGUCUGGUCUGCAACUGACGCUGAGGCUCGAAAGCAUGGGUAGCGAACAGGAUUACAUACCCUGUUAUUCCAUGCCGUAUACGAUGAGUGCUAGGUGUUGGAGGGUUUCCGCCCUUCAGUGCCGGAUCUAACGCAUUCAUCACUCCGCCUGGGGAGUACGACCGCAAGGUUGAAACUCAAAGGAAUUGACGGGGGCCCGCACAAGCGGUGGAGCUUGUGGUUUAAUUCUAAUCUACACGAAUAACCUUACCAGGUCUUGACUUCUUGCGCUAACCUUAGAGAUAAGGCGUUCCCUUCGGGGACGCAAUGACAGGUGGUGCAUGGUCGUCGUCAGCUCGUGUCGUGAUAUGUUGGGUUAAGUCCCCCACCGAGCGUUACCCUUGUUACUACUUGCCAGCAUUAUGUUGGGCACUCUUAGUGACACUGCCGGUGACAUACCGGAGGAUGGUGGGGACGACUUCUUAUCGUCUUGCCUCUUAUGAUCUGGGCUACACACCUGCUACCAUGG
rnacentral:rRNA from 1 species